rnacentral:misc_RNA from 1 species
GAUGAAGAACGCAGCGAAAUGCGAUAAGUAAUGUGAAUUGCAGAAUUCAGUGAAUCAUCGAAUCUUUGAACGCACAUUGCGCCCGCCAGUAUUCUGGCGGGCAUGCCUGUUCGAGCGUCAUUUCAACCAUCAAGCCCCCGGCUUGUGUUGGGGACCUGCGGCUGCCCGCAGGCCCUGAAAACCAGUGGCGGGCUCGCUGUCACACCGAGCGUAGUAGCAACAUCUCGCUCAGGGCGUGCUGCGGGUUCCGGCCGUUAAAAGCCUUUUACACCCAAGGUUGACCUCGGAUCAGGUAGGAAGACCCGCUGAACUUAAGCAUAUCAAUAAGCGGAGGA